GGGCCCGCACAAGCAGCGGAGCGUGUGGUUUAAUUCGAGGCAACGCGAAGAACCUUACCAGGGUUUGACAUGCUGGUGGUAGGGAGGUGAAAGCCGACCGACUCUUCGGAGAGCCAGCACAGGUGCUGCAUGGCUGUCGUCAGCUCGUGCCGUGAGGUGUUAGGUUAAGUCCUGUAACGAGCGCAACCCACGUCGUUAGUUAUACGUGUCUAGCGAGACUGCCGGUGAUAAGCCGGAGGAAGGUGUGGAUGACGUCAAGUCAGCAUGGCCUUUAUAUCCUGGGCUACACACACGCUACAAUGGCCGGUACAAUGGGUCGCCAAGCCGCGAGGUGGAGCCAAUCCCGUAAAGCCGGUCACAGUUCGGAUUGCAGGCUGCAACUCGCCUGCAUGAAGUCGGAGUUGCUAGUAACCGCAGGUCAGCAACACUGCGGUGAAUACGUUCCCGGGCCUU
rnacentral:rRNA from 1 species